CCUACGGGAGGCAGCAGUGAGGAAUAUUGGUCAAUGGGCGAGAGCCUGAACCAGCCAAGUCGCGUGAAGGAUGAAGGAUCUAUGGUUUGUAAACUUCUUUUAUAGGGGAAUAAAGUGAGGAACGUGUGCCUUUUUGUAUGUACCAUAUGAAUAAGCAUCGGCUAACUCCGUGCCAGCAGCCGCGGUAAUACGGAGGAGGCGAGCGUUAUCCGGAUUUAUUGGGUUUAAAGGGUGCGUCGGUGGUUAAUUAAGUCAGCGGUGAAAGUUUGUGGCUCAACCAUAAAAUUGCUGUUGAAACUGGUUGACUUGAGUAUAUUUGAGGUAGUCGGACUGCGUGGUGUAGCGGU
rnacentral:rRNA from 1 species